rnacentral:rRNA from 1 species
GAUGAACGCUAGCUACAGGCUUAACACAUGCAAGUCGCGGGGCAGCAUGAAUUUAGCUUGCUAAAUUUGAUGGCGACCGGCGCACGGGUGAGUAACGCGUAUCCAACCUUCCCCUGUCCACGGGAUAGCCCGUCGAAAGGCGGAUUAAUACCGUAUGAGGUCACACGAUGGCAUCAGACUGUGACGAAAGGUUUGGCGGACAGGGAUGGGGAUGCGUCCGAUUAGGUAGUCGGCGGGGUAACGGCCCACCGAGCCGACGAUCGGUAGGGGUUCUGAGAGGAUGAACGGCCACAUUGGGACUGAGACACGGCCCAGACUCCUACGGGAGGCAGCAGUGGGGAAUCUUCCGCAAUGGACGAAAGUCUGACGGAGCAACGCCGCGUGAACGAUGACGGCCUUCGGGUUGUAAAGUUCUGUUAUACGGGACGAAAGGCGUAGUGGUCAAUACCCGUUACGAGUGACGGUACCGUAAGAGAAAGCCACGGCUAACUACGUG